CGCACGGGUGAGUAACACGUAUCCAACCUGCCGCUUACUCGGGGAUAGCCUUUCGAAAGAAAGAUUAAUACCCGAUGGUAUAAAGAGUUCGCAUGUUCUCUUUAUUAAAGAAUUUCGGUAAGCGAUGGGGAUGCGUCCGUUAGAUAGUUGGCGGGGUAACGGCCCACCAAGUCUACGAUGGAUAGGGGUUCUGAGAGGAAGGUCCCCCACAUUGGAACUGAGACACGGUCCAAACUCCUACGGGAGGCAGCAGUGAGGAAUAUUGGUCAAUGGACGAGAGUCUGAACCAGCCAAGUAAGCGUGAAGGAUGACUGCCCUAUGGGUUGUAAACUUCUUUUAUAAGGGAAUAAAGUGAGGGACGUGUCCCUUUUUGUAUGUACCUUAUGAAUAAGGAUCGGCUAACUCCGUGCCAGCCGCCGC
rnacentral:rRNA from 1 species